CGCCUCCUGUCGCGCUGCUCCACCGCCGUGCGCUCCAGGGGUCCCCGCAGUCCGCCCGCUGCGUUGAGCUCCGGGCUCACUUUUCUUUCGCCGGUGGCGAGUGGCUGGUGGGUCAAAAAUAUAUCCUUCAAAACAGGAGUGAUGUGAAUUCCUGGUUUGAGUUCCUCUACUGACAAGAGGAAAAUAAGAGUAAGUAGUUAUUUAAUGUAGUACCGAUCACUCCAAGCCCCCCCAUAAACCUUACAUUGUCUGAAUACAAUAGAGAUGUUGAGAUUUAAUAAAUUCCUCUUGAGUCUAUGAUAUCUGCCCACGUGCACUUUAUCAUACCUUCCAAAAUGCAGCUGUUACAUCCAAACCUCCUCAUGGGCUCUUAUGCCUAAGUUUCCCUGUACAGUUGUUUUCUUUCUCUGCUUUAAUUAAAAUUUAAACACUUCACAUCAAACUUAAUGGCAGAUGCAAAUUCCUGGACAAACAUCAUGAAAUCAAGC
rnacentral:lncRNA from 1 species